rnacentral:rRNA from 1 species
UACGAAGGGGGCUAGCGUUGCUCGGAAUCACUGGGCGUAAAGCGCACGUAGGCGGAUCUUUAAGUCGGGGGUGAAAUCCUGGAGCUCAACUCCAGAACUGCCUUCGAUACUGAGGACCUUGAGUCCGGGAGAGGUGAGUGGAACUGCGAGUGUAGAGGUGAAAUUCGUAGAUAUUCGCAAGAACACCAGUGGCGAAGGCGGCUCACUGGCCCGGUACUGACGCUGAGGUGCGAAAGCGUGGGUAGCAAACAGG